rnacentral:rRNA from 1 species
GACGAACGCUGGCGGCGUGCUUAACACAUGCAAGUCGAACGGAAAGGCCCUGCUUUUGUGGGGUGCUCGAGUGGCGAACGGGUGAGUAACACGUGAGUAACCUGCCCUUGACUUUGGGAUAACUUCAGGAAACUGGGGCUAAUACCGGAUAGGAGCUCCUGCUGCAUGGUGGGGGUUGGAAAGUUUCGGCGGUUGGGGAUGGACUCGCGGCUUAUCAGCUUGUUGGUGGGGUAGUGGCUUACCAAGGCUUUGACGGGUAGCCGGCCCGAGAGGGUGACCGGCCACAUUGGGACUGAGAUACGGCCCAGACUACUACGGGAGGCAGCAGUGGGGAAUAUUGCACAAUGGGCGGAAGCCUGAUGCAGCAACGCCGCGUGCGGGAUGACGGCCUUCGGGUUGUAAACCGCUUUCGCCUGUGACGAAGCGUGAGUGACGGUAAUGGGUAAAGAAGCACCGGCUAACUACGUG